UUGAUCCUGGCUCAGGAUGAACGCUAGCGGCAGGCCUAACACAUGCAAGUCGAGGGGUACAGGGGAGCUUGCUCCCGCUGACGACCGGCGCACGGGUGCGGAACGCGUAUGGAACCUGCCCCUGUCAGAGGAAUAGCCCAUGGAAACGUGGAUUAAUGCCUCAUGGUAUUGUGAAGUUGCAUGAUUUUACAAUUAAAGAUUUAUCGGACAGGGAUGGCCAUGCGUAUCAUUAGCUAGUUGGGGAGGUAACGGCUCACCAAGGCGACGAUGAUUAGGGGCCCUGAGAGGGGGAUCCCCCACACUGGUACUGAGACACGGACCAGACUCCUACGGGAGGCAGCAGUGAGGAAUAUUGGACAAUGGUCGGAAGACUGAUCCAGCCAUGCCGCGUGCAGGAAGACGGCCCUACGGGUUGUAAACUGCUUUUCUACAGGAAGAAAGGUUCCCUUGCGAGGGAGAUUGACGGUACUGUAGGAAUAAGGACCGGCUAACUCCGUGCCAGCAGCCGCGGUAAUACGGAGGGUCCGAGCGUUAUCCGGAAUCAUUGGGUUUAAAGGGUCCGUAGGUGGGGUUCUAAGUCAGAGGUGAAAGGUUGCAGCUCAACUGUAGAAUUGCCUUUGAUACUGGAGCUCUUGAGUUAUGUUGCUGUGGCCGGAACAUGUGGUGUAGCGGUGAAAUGCAUAGAUAUCACAUAGAACACCGAUUGCGAAGGCAGGUCACAAAGCAUACACUGACACUGAGGGACGAAAGCGUGGGGAGCGAACGGGAUUAGAUACCCCGGUAGUCCACGCCGUAAACCGAUGGAUACUAGCUGUAGGGUUUUCGG
rnacentral:rRNA from 1 species